rnacentral:rRNA from 1 species
UACGUAGGGUGCAAGCGUUGUCCGGAAUCAUUGGGCGUAAAGAGCGUGUAGGCGGCUCGAUUAGUCCGCUGUAAAAGUCCAGGGCUCAACCCUGGGAUGCCGGUGGAAACUGUCGGGCUAGAGUCCGGGAGAGGCGAGUGGAAUUCCUGGUGUAGCGGUGAAAUGCGCAGAUAUCAGGAGGAACACCAAUGGCGAAGGCAGAUCUCUGGGCCGUAACUGACGCUGAGGAGCGAAAGCAUGGGGAGCGAACAGG